UAAUGAGCUACACAUGUGGCUGUAACACCUGAGGGCCUCUGGUUGGUCGGUGAAUAGCCUGACUUGUAAAAACUGGUGUGUAGCAGACAGCAGCACAUAGUGUCAGUUUGGCCAGAAUAUACAAGCAAGCAAGUGGUUCACUUAAGCUUGUGUAGGUUAGCAGGUGUAGUUUGCUAGCAGCUAGGCUAGCUUUAGACAUUGCCAACACAUCAGUUGCUAUGGCUUUUGGGUUUUGCCUUAGUGAAUGGUGUUCCAGUAGAGGUGGUCCAUGCAACACUAUUCUCCAGACAAAGCUGGGUUUUAAUCAUGGUUGACCUGGGGGCUGCUUGCGCCAUGCAUAAAGGAUCA